rnacentral:snRNA from 1 species
GUGCUCGCUUCGGCAGCACAUAUACUAAAAUUGGAACGAUACAGAGAAGAUUAGCAUGGCCCCUGCACAAGGAUGACACACAAAUUCGUAAAGCAUUCCAUAUUUUU